CAAUAGCGUAUAUUAAAGUUGUUGCAGUUAAAAAGCUCGUAGUUGGAUUUGUGGCGGUUCCUGUGGUCCGAUUUCGGUACUUUCGGGGACUGCCAUCCUUGGGUGGAUCCUGUGUGGCAUUAGGUUGUCGUGCAGGGGAUGCCCAUCGUUUACUGUGAAAAAAUUAGAGUGUUCAAAGCAGGCUUAUGCCGUUGAAUAUAUUAGCAUGGAAUAAUGAGAUAGGACCUUGGUACUAUUUUGUUGGUUUGCGCACCGAGGUAAUGAUUAAUAGGGACAGUUGUGGGUAUUCGUAUUCCAUUGUCAGAGGUGAAAUUCUUGGAUUUCUGGAAGACGAACGAAUGCGAAAGCAUUUACCAAGGAUGUUUNCAUUAA
rnacentral:rRNA from 1 species